CAAUGAAAGAAGCAUGGUAAUGUGCACAUAAAUUCAUUUUGGUCUCUAGGCCUGCCCUCUCUGAUGCAAUUUGGCUUUGAUUUAAGGGUAUGGUUCUACAACAAAAUG